UGAGGAAUAUUGGUCAAUGGGCGGUAGCCUGAACCAGCCAAGUAGCGUGAAGGAUGAAGGUUCUAUGGAUUGUAAACUUCUUUUAUAAAGGAAUAAAGUGAGGCACGUGUGCCUUUUUGUAUGUACUUUAUGAAUAAGGAUCGGCUAACUCCGUGCCAGCAGCCGCGGUAAUACGGAGGAUCCGAGCGUUAUCCGGAUUUAUUGGGUUUAAAGGGAGCGUAGAUGGGUUGUUAAGUCAGUUGUGAAAGUUUGCGGCUCAACCGUAAAAUUGCAAUUGAUACUGGCGUCCUUGAGUACAGUUGAGGUGGGCGGAAUUCGUGGUGUAGCGGUGAAAUGCCUUAGAUAUCACGAAGAACCCCUAUUGCGAAAGGCAGCUCACUAAACUGCAACUGACAUUGAGGCUCGAAAAGUGUGGGUAUCAAAACA
rnacentral:rRNA from 1 species